CAGCCGCCGCGGUAAUACGAAGGGGGCUAGCGUUGUUCGGAAUUACUGGGCGUAAAGCGCACGUAGGCGGAUCGAUCAGUCAGGGGUGAAAUCCCAGGGCUCAACCCUGGAACUGCCUUUGAUACUGUCGAUCUGGAGUAUGGAAGAGGUGAGUGGAAUUCCGAGUGUAGAGGUGAAAUUCGUAGAUAUUCAAGGAACACCAGUGGCGAAGGCGGCUCACUGGUCCAUUACUGACGCUGAGGUGCGAAAGCGUGGGGAGCAAACAGGAUUAGAUACCCCCGUAGUCCCUGUCUCUUAUACA
rnacentral:rRNA from 1 species